GAAGGAAUGCCUGUCAAUGGAUAAGGUUAAUGAUGACAAAUGAAAGACUUGAUAUUUAACCUUCGUACAUUUAAGUUAAAUCAGGCAAAGAUGAUAAUGAACAAAGGAUGACAAUAAACAUGGUUGACAAGUUGAUAAUUUGAAAAAAAGUAAAUGACGACAAUCGCCAAGAAAAUGACCGAGAUCGGUUUAAUUUCAAUCAAGAAGCAAGUUGUAUUGAAGGACAAUCAAGACAUUUAUAUAUUAUUACCAUUGAUUGGAUUGAAAUUCAAUUGCAAAUCUGGACAUAAUUUGUCAACGAUUAAGUGUUGAAAUAACUAAGAGAAAUUGUUCAAUUUGAUAUAAUCAUCAAAAAAUAAUCAAUGGAAGCAAAAGCUUCAAAUUUUCCUCAAUUUUUUUCAUCUUUCCAUGACUACCAGGCAAGUUAUUCAGAUUCUCACAUCUUUAAAUCUAAUUACAGUCUUUCAAUCAGAAUUUCAAUGCGUAUACAAACUGUAAUUACAAUAAAAUGUAAUUAGAAUGUAAAUUAUUACAAAAAAGCAAAACAAACACACUUAAGAAAUGUAAAGACGAUUCUUGACUGUGUCCAGUUUGAUGGGUUUAAAAAAAGGUAAAACUCAUUGCAGCGAAUUAAAUGUAAUUCUAAUUGUUUAAUGCUCCACCAAGAUCAAUAUGAUUAACCCAGAUUCACUGGAUGAACUCAAUUUAAUUGAGAUGAGUAAAAAGUAAAUAAAGUCAAAUUUUCUACAUUUAAAUGUCGCGCGCCGCUGAUUCAAAAAGGAUCCUCCUCUUUUAGGUUGAGCCUUAAAAAGUUACAAUUUGUAAGUUGAUUUUAAAAUGACGUGAUUGUGUCUCUCAACAAUUACUUUACAGCCUUGAUUUGAUAAUUUCCGGAAGAUGAAAGGAUGAAUGAUCAUCAUUGAUAUGCAUUAAGUUUGGUUUAUUACGGAAUCAAUAAAAACCAUUGUGAUUUAAUGUUAACCAAGAAGACAUUGUGACUUACCCAUAGAGACUAAUGUAGAGACCAUUUCUGGUUAACUUUCCAUGUUAAACAUUUAAUCAAAUUUCCAUCUUCAAGAUAAUCUUCAUCAUCAUGUUUAUUUUCACAUUUCUAUAUGUUUUUAUUGUGCACUGAAUUUACCAUCUUCUGAUUAUUUAAUCGUUCAAUUUACUGCCUAUGUUUAAAACUACUGUAUUACAGUUUCCAUCUCUAUUAUCUUAUAGCCAAUUGUUUUACGUCAAUCAGUUUACUGCUGGUUAACCGUUUAGUUUUAUUUUUAUAAUUUAUAAAUUUUAUGCUCCAUCCUUGAGUUUGUUUUAAUUAAGUCUGCCUAAUUGAAUACCUUGACUGAAUUAGACUGUAGACACAUUGUAUGCUUUUUUAUAUUCUGAAUUUACAAUUAUAACAAGUACAAGAGCAUUUGUAUCACUCAAUGUACAAAAGUUGAUGGGUUAGCGACGCAAUUGACUGACAAUUAAUUAGCGAUAAAGAUUUAUUGAGAUUAACACUAUUAGACAAUCUUGACAUUGUAAAGUCUAAAUCAACAGUUUGGUGUGAAGCUGUAAAUGACAUUGCGCUAUCAACUGAUACUUUCAAUCUUUUAUUCCGAUAGUUUAAUCCAACCAGACAAAUGAUUUAGAUUUCUCAGUGAACAUGUAGAUUAGCCUUGAAUAAAUUAUAAAUAAACGAUGUACUACAAUUUAACGAUCACCGAUUUGAGUAUGUUCAAGGAAAUAGCCAGGCAAUUGCUAUGAUUGGAGAAAAAAAUGACCAUCGAAGCUAAUAAUGAAGUCAUCAAUUGAUCAUUUUAUACUAUGUUAUUGAUAUCUAAGAUUUAAUCAUAAUUAUGAAAAGCUGUCCACUAAUAAGCCUUAAGAAAUUCAAUAGAAUCAACCUUUUUCAAAGUGAUUUUUAGGCGACAUUUUCGCGAAAUCGAUAAAUCAGGUUAUGGUGGUACUUUGAUAAACAACUUUGAUAUUGACUUAAUAAUCUGAUCCAAUUACUGGAUGAGUAUAUUUACAGUUUGUUUAAUGAAUGGUCAACGAUCAAUUUAAUUUAACUCCACAGCUCAAUUAAAAAUCAAUGACCAAGAUUUACUUUUAGCAAGCUUAGAAGGUUAGAAAUUAUUAUUCUGAAUUAUUAUGAAACUUAAAUUGACAUGUUAAUAAUAUUUUGACAUUGAAUUUUAACAUUAAAUUGGAGAUGAUUUGUCUUGAAAAACUAAACUAAAAAUUGGUUUCAAAGUAAAUUAAAUAUGACAGUAAAAUUGAUAAUUUAUGAACAAUAAAUAAUCGUAAAUCAUGGUCUGGUUUGCAAUGAAUUUCACCAAAUAAAUUUAUUUAUUUAGGAAAAACCAAACUAAAUUAUUUACUAAUACAAUACAUACACUAGAACAGCAAAUAGACGUUUCUAAGCCUCAGAGUUGGCCUACACCAGUUAAUCAUUAACAUUAAAUAAUAGCUGAUUAAAAUUGAAUCAAAUUCACUAUCCAUAUUGACCAUCUAGAAAUGAAUCGCUGUUCAGUAGAUAUGAUGGUGCGGGUUAUAAUUUCCUAUCACAAGGUAAAACGUCGUCGAAUUAGCAGUUGAAAGUAAUCAAUUGUGACUUCCUGGAGUUUCUCAUUUCUUACAAAUCCAAAUCAACUGUUACUUAGGGAUUUUAAUUUUGAAUCUCGUAAGGUUAAAAAAAUAAAUGACUAUUAACUUUGUUA